GUAGGUGGCAAGCGUUGUCCGGAAUUAUUGGGCGUAAAGCGCGCGCAGGCGGUUCUUUAAGUCUGAUGUGAAAGCCCACGGCUCAACCGUGGAGGGUCAUUGGAAACUGGAGAACUUGAGUACAGAAGAGGAAAGCGGAAUUCCACGUGUAGCGGUGAAAUGCGUAGAGAUGUGGAGGAACACCAGUGGCGAAGGCGGCUUUCUGGUCUGUAACUGACGCUGAGGCGCGAAAGCGUGGGGAGCAAACAGGAUUAGAUACCCUGGUAGUCCACGCCGUAAACGAUGAGUGCUAAGUGUUAGGGGGUUUUCCGCCCCCCUUAGUGCUGCAGCUAACGCACUAAGCACUCCGCCUGGGAGUACGGCCGCAAGGCUG
rnacentral:rRNA from 1 species